rnacentral:rRNA from 1 species
UAGAGUUUGUUCAUGGCUCAGGACGAACGCUGGCGGCGUGCCUAAUACAUGCAAGUCGAGCGGACAGAUGGGAGCUUGCUCCCUGAUGUUAGCGGCGGACGGGUGAGUAACACGUGGGUAACCUGCCUGUAAGACUGGGAUAACUCCGGGAAACCGGGGCUAAUACCGGAUGGUUGUUUGAACCGCAUGGUUCAAACAUAAAAGGUGGCUUCGGCUACCACUUACAGAUGGACCCGCGGCGCAUUAGCUAGUUGGUGAGGUAAUGGCUCACCAAGGCAACGAUGCGUAGCCGACCUGAGAGGGUGAUCGGCCACACUGGGACUGAGACACGGCCCAGACUCCUACGGGAGGCAGCAGUAGGGAAUCUUCCGCAAUGGACGAAAGUCUGACGGAGCAACGCCGCGUGAGUGAUGAAGGUUUUCGGAUCGUAAAGCUCUGUUGUUAGGGAAGAACAAGUGCCGUUCGAAUAGGGCGGCACCUUGACGGUACCUAACCAGAAAGCCACGGCUAACUACGUGCCAGCAGCCGCGGUAAUACGUAGGUGGCAAGCGUUGUCCGGAAUUAUUGGGCGUAAAGGGCUCGCAGGCGGUUUCUUAAGUCUGAUGUGAAAGCCCCCGGCUCAACCGGGGAGGGUCAUUGGAAACUGGGGAACUUGAGUGCAGAAGAGGAGAGUGGAAUUCCACGUGUAGCGGUGAAAUGCGUAGAGAUGUGGAGGAACACCAGUGGCGAAGGCGACUCUCUGGUCUGUAACUGACGCUGAGGAGCGAAAGCGUGGGGAGCGAACAGGAUUAGAUACCCUGGUAGUCCACGCCGUAAACGAUGAGUGCUAAGUGUUAGGGGGUUUCCGCCCCUUAGUGCUGCAGCUAACGCAUUAAGCACUCCGCCUGG